UACAGAGGUCUCAAGCGUUGUUCGGAUUCAUUGGGCGUAAAGGGUGCGUAGGUGGUGAGAUAAGUCGGAUGUGAAAGCUCGGAGCUCAACUCCGAAAUGGCAUUGGAAACUAUCUCGCUCGAGGGUUGGAGGGGGGACUGGAAUGCUUGGUGUAGCAGUGAAAUGCGUAGAUAUCAAGCGGAACACCAGUGGCGAAGGCGAGUCCCUGGACAACUCCUGACACUGAGGCACGAAAGCUAGGGGAGCAAACAGG
rnacentral:rRNA from 1 species